rnacentral:lncRNA from 1 species
CAAUGUUGAGAACAGUAAGAGGACAUUUGUUUUGAAGUGUGCCUAGUGCCAUGUUGUAGGCAGAACGGAAACCACUAUGAGGAUGCAUCAAAUCUCCAUGUCCUCUUUGGGUGGAAAAUGGGUCAGGCCAUUGAACCUCCUUGUUUUAUAUGUCAAGAAGAAAUGUAUCAUGUGCAAAAGGAUACACUGUUGGAAUAUUUGGAUAAUACUUAAAAGUCUGUUCCUGGAACCAAAAUGAUCUUUGCCCAGAAUUAGAAGGAGGGAAAAGGGGCUAGCCUGAAGCCCUUCUUUAAAACUUACUAAUGAGUAA